AUGAGGUGUGUUGUCGUCCUGGCCAUACCAGAGAUGGACAAAUUACAGCAACGUGCUGGGGCUUGGCCUAUGCUUAUAGGGCCUCAAUCGACAUUAUCCAAUGCCUUCAAAAGGAAAAAAAUAGCCCCUGGAUCUGAUAGCAACACAGAAGUCAGCGCAGCUGUUCCAAUUCCAAGUACAGCAGCUACACCAUCCCCAGUAGUAAGUACAGUUGCUACCCAAACUUCAGCUGCGACAGACAGUGCAGCUACCCCAGCAACAAGUACAGCAGCUAUUCAAACCUUGACUGCGACAGACAGUGCAGCUGAACUACAGGACCAAUUCAUACCAAUAUCGGUUGCUCCUGUACACAAGAGAAAAACCAAAAGAGAGGCAAGAAGGACGAGGCAGGAUGAAGAAACUACGCAUCCACUACCUGGUCUAGUAUCUGAUCAGGGGUCAUCAUCACACGACGAAGAAGAAGAGGUGACUUCUCGAUCUCGGACCUCAACUGAGCUGCGGAAUAUGCGAAAAGAUUUUACCCGUCAACCAGGGGAGCACAUCAUCACCUGGUUGCUCCGAUGUUGGGAUAGUGGGGCCGAUGGUCACGAACUAGCAGGUACAGAAGCCAAGCAGCUGGGGUCACUUGCUAAAGAAGGGGGAAUUGACAAAGCAAUUGCAAGAGAGAAAAAGUCCCUCAGUCUUUGGAGGCGGCUUUUGGCAGCUGUGAAAGAAAGGUUUCCAUACAAGGAUGAUGUUAUGAGUCGUUCGGCCAAGUGGAAUACUAUAGACAAAGGCAUCCAGUCCCUGAGGGAAUCAGCUAUCGUAGAGAUGAUUUAUCACAUCAAGCCGAAUAAUGGGGAUGUACCCAUAGACCCAGAUGAAGUCGAAUGCACACGACCCAUGUGGCGAAAGCUUACACGAAACGCACCGUCGUCAUAUGCCCAUUCAUUGGCAACGGUAACUUGGAAUGACAUAGUACCACCAACAGUGGAUGAAAUGGUUCAUAAACUCCGAGAAUUUGAAGACAAUCUUACCCCUUCCAUCAUCUCAGCUGUGGAAAAAAUGUCUCAGGAUCUCAGACAGGAUCUCAAACAGUUGAGGGAUAAUCUGUCUGAUUUAUCUAGCUCUUCACGUGUGCCAAUACGUGUUUCAGCUAUUAACAAAAGGCGUCCUAUUGCUCGAGAGAGAAGAUAUAUAAGAUACACACCACGGGCCACCCUAUGGUUUUACUUGCGGGAUCACGGAGAAGACAUGACAAAGUGGGAUGGAAAACCUACUUCAGUCUUGGAGGAACGUGUGGGUGAAUUGAAGAGAGGAGCAAGGGCCAAGACUGAUCGCCCCAUGAGAGCUGCAGCUUCAGUCUCUGGUGAACAGGUUCCCAGAUGGAGCGGAAGAGCUGAUUUUACUCCAGCUCCUGUGAUAAAGAAGAAUGAUCCCUUUCAAUACGAAUUAGGUGUCCAAGAUUGUGAUGACGAUGACUAUUAG
rnacentral:lncRNA from 14 species